UACGUAGGGUGCGAGCGUUAUUCGGAAUUACUGGGCGUAAAGUGUGCGCAGGCGGCCGCGCAAGUCGAGUGUGAAAGCCCCGGGCUUAACUUGGGAAUUGCGCUCGAAACUACGUGGCUGGAGUGUGGCAGAGGAAGGUGGAAUUCCAGGUGUAGCGGUGAAAUGCGUAGAUAUCUGGAGGAAUACCGGUGGCGAAGGCGGCAUCCUGGACCGACAUUGACGCUGAUGAGCGAAAGCUAGGGGAGCAAACGGG
rnacentral:rRNA from 1 species